GACGAACCGUGCGAACGUUAUUCGGAAUCACUGGGCUUAAAGCGCGUGUAGGCGGGUGGGCGCGUCGGCCGCUGAAAUCCCCCGGCUCAACCGGGGAAGUGGCGCCGAAACGGCCCGCCUGGAGGAACGUAGGGGGAGCUGGAACUUCCGGUGGAGCGGUGAAAUGCGUUGAGAUCGGAAGGAACGCCCGUGGCGAAAGCGAGCUCCUGGACGUUUUCUGACGCUGAGACGCGAAAGCCAGGGGAGCGAACGGG
rnacentral:rRNA from 1 species